CUGAGGAAUAGUGUCUGUCAGUCACUAGAAUUGGAAGAGGAAGAAGCUCCCUUUCCUGGGAGCCCCCAGAGGGAGCUGGCACCUUGAAUCUGGACUUCUGCUCUCCAGAACUAAGACAGAGGAUUCUUGCUGGAGCCGAAGUGCCCAGUCAUGGCAUUCCUGUAGUAGCCGGAAAUGGACAGCAGGAAUCCAAAGGGUAGAAAUGGGUCAAAAUCGGCAGAGACUCUCCUGUGAUGGGACUAGACCAGAAGCUGAUCAACGCGGGGUAUCUCAGGAACAUUAUGAACCUGUUUACACAUCUGGCCACUCAGCAAGGAUGGUCCACUGAUAGCACCCCUGGACCCCAAGUGGCAUCAUCAUCAUCAUCAUCACUAAUCUUAUCAGGAUUGAAGCUGCACGGAGCUGUGGGAGGGGAAUGUUUGCCGCACCGGGGAGAAGUCCUGCCCCAUGGCACAAGCCAGACAGAGGACCGCCUCUUCGGAAAUUCCCAGGGUCGCAGUCAGGGAGAGCAACCACCCAUGGAAACCUUCCCCCAUGGCACGGCACGGUGUGGUCGUUUGUCCUGUCUGCAGCCAGGGAGGAAGAUCCUCAGAGAGGAUUCCAUGCCUUGAUGUUGAAGUUUAAAUUACCUGCAUCACAUGUGGUAACCACAGAAGCCAGAAGAGGGCGCUAGAGUGGCAGGCAUUUGAGCCACCUGCCUGCUGUGGGUGCUGGGAUCCCAACCCAGGUCCUCUGCAAGACCAGUACCUGCUUGCAACUGCUGAGUCGUCUCUCCAGUCCUUGUCUUAAAGCUUUUAACUUCGGUUGUUCUCACAUUCACGCUUCCAGCAAGCAGACUGGACAUCUGUGGGGUUGGUCUUCCAGAUUCUUUAAAAGCACUUGGGCUCUCCCCACUGACACAAAUCUACUUAGUCAGGUUUUAUGAAUUGCAGUAACAUUCUGCAUAUUUCCCUGUGAACACCUAUUUGCCAUGUGGCAGAUUGGUUUUCAUAUAUUGUAUGUAUCAGUAUAUAUUGUGUACACAUGCAGGAUCUUGUUUGUUUGUUUGUUUUGUUUUCGGAGCUGGGGACCGAACCCAGGGCCUUGCGCUUCCUAGGCAAGCGCUCUACCACUGAGCUAAAUCCCCAACCCACAUGCAGGAUCUUAAUUAGACUCUGUUUGUUUUUGUUUUGUUUUGUUUUUGAGACAAAGUUUCUCUGUGUAGCCCUGCCUAUCCUGGAACUCCCUCUGUAGACCAGGUUGGCCUCUAAGUCAGAGACCUGCCUGCCUCUGCCUCCUGAGUGUUGGGAUUAAAGUCAUGUGCCACCACUGUCCAGCGUGUUUAUUUGUCUUUCCCCCUUACCAUUUUGUGUCACAGUCCCAGGUUUUCUUGUUAGACAAGCUUCCUACAUCCUUAGGUCAAACUUGACCCUGUCAUUCUAUUAAAAGCUGGGGUGUCCAACUUGAUUUUCUGAUAUUUUGUUACAGAUUUUAAAAUCUGUAUUUCUAAGUGUUGGUGCAUACUAUUUGUGUUUUAAAAAAAUAUCUCUUGGGGUUGGGGAUUUAGCUCAGCGGUAGAGCACUUACCUACCAAGGGCAAGGCCCUGGGUUCAGUCCUCAGCUCCGAAAAAAAAAAAAAAAAAAAGACAAAAUAAAAAAAUUUUUCUUAGGGUGAAGAUGUGGCUUAGUAGUUAAGAGGCUUGCUGUUCUUGGAGACGACCCAGGUUCAGUUCCCAGCCCACAUACUGGGCUGCUUACAACCACCUCAAACUCCAGCUCCAGGGGGAACUUCUGCCCUCUUCUGGCCUCUUUAGGCACUGCACUCAUGUGAACAAACACAUAAUUAAAUGGAAAACGAAUCAUUUUUAAUAUACCCCCCUCACACACACCAUUUUUUGAUCUGGAUUAAUUAAAAUAUGGGCCCCAAGUUUCUUUUUUCUUGGAGUUGGUUUUCUCCUUCCAUUAUUUGGGUUCAAAGACAAGUGAAUGGUAUCAACCAACCGUUCUCCUUGACCUGUAGAGUGAGGGCCCCACUCUGCUCAUCUACAGAUAGCUCUCUCACUGUAACCUAGGCCGACUAUGAACUCCAGCAAUUCUUCUGCCUUAGUCUCUGCAAUUACAGGUAGGUGCCAUCAUGCCCAACAGACUCAGGUCCUUGAAAGCGGCUAACUGCCACCUCAGGGAAACAGAAAGGACCUUGUUCUCGACAGGUGCUCAGUGAGCAAUUAACUAGCCGUGUGAGACGUUUGUGGAAAUCUGUAUGUUGAAAUAGUUAAUAGCAGAGUCCACGCAAUGGUGAGGUCAUAAGAGCCAAGAAGACACUCAGGGGAAGAGAAAUCUGAGCUUUGGCACUCAAAAGAGCUGCUAACCUGUUCCAGCCAGCUCGGGCAGGUUGGCUCUAUUGAGCAGCACACAUGCCCACAAACUGUAGUUGAGCAGAGUAAGGAAGGUUCACCCCAGGUGGACACACUCACAUCUGCUUCAAGCCUGACUUUUGCAGUCCCCCAGCAGAGGCAAGUGCAGCAGGUGUGCAUUGACAUGGCUCUAGGUUGGCUCCCAAGUGGCCGUGCACCUAUUUGCAUGCUUGGGUCACAGGGUAAGAGUGAAGGGCACAGAAGAAGACUGUCAGGAAGGAAGUGACUAACUGGUAAAGAACUGUCAGCCAUGCAUGUCCUGUACCCAGCCUCUCUCCUCCCUGAUAUCUGAUGUCUCCUUUUCAGUUUGUAGGUGUUCACCUACAACUGUAGGCUGUACAGAGUCCCUGCUGUUAUUUUGUUGUUUUGAGAUGUGGUCUCAGACAUGUAAUUCUCCUGCCCCUGACUCUUGAGGACUGAGAUGAAAGGCUUGUACCACCAACCUGGGCAAACUGAGGCUUUUAGAUCUAAAAUAAACCCCAAGACCUGACUAGCUCAGUGCUUUCACUUCAUAGAAGAGGAAACAGAGGUGUGAAUUACACCCUCAUCCUCUGGGCAACACCUGCGUCCCCUGAGUGGAACAUGGUGGAAGAAUGGGAAGCCUAAGAUUUGAAGUCUAGAGAGAGACUUUUGCUGGCCGAACCUCAGUUUUUCCAACUGUCAGAUGGGAAUAACCAUUAUGAGAUAAUGCCUAGGUGUUUUGCA